UCCUCAUUUCGCACGCUCUCUCGCCGAUCAGAGAGGCGAGAGAGUGGGGGAAAUGAAGAGA
rfam:Pristionchus pacificus strain PS312 contig1025, whole genome shotgun sequence.